rnacentral:ribozyme from 1 species
UUUUUUUUUUCGUCCUUUUUUUUUUUCCUUUUUCUUUCUGCGCCGCGACGGGGGGAACGAGGAGGAAGGACGAAA